rnacentral:tRNA from 1 species
CAGAAGAUAGUUUAGUAAAAAUGUUGGCUUUGGGGGCCAGAGUCGGACUUAAUAGUUUUCUUCUGA